AUUGAACGCUGGCGGCAGGCCUAACACAUGCAAGUCGAGCGGAGCGGCGGAUGGGGGAGUAAGGCCUAGGAAUCUGCCGGGUAGUGGGGGAGAACGUCCGGAAACGGGCGCGAAUACCGCAGACUAUCAGAGGAGCCUAGUGCGGAUUAGCUAUUGGUUGGGGUAAAGGCCUACCAGGGCGACGAUCCGUAACUGGUCUGAGAGGAUGAUCAGUCACACUGGAACUGAGACACGGUCCAGACUCCUACGUGAGGCAGCAGUGGGGAAUAUUGGACAAUUGGCGAAAGCCUGAUCCAGCCAUGCCGCGUGUGUGAAGAAGGUCUUCGGAUUGUAAAGCACUUUCAGUUGGGAGGCGUUACCAACAGAAUAAGCACCGGCUAACUUCGUGCCAGCAGCCGCGGUAAUUC
rnacentral:rRNA from 1 species